CAGGUCCCAAGGGUUGGGCUGUUCGCCCAUUAAAGCGGUACGCGAGCUGGGUUUAGAACGUCGUGAGACAGUUCGGUCCCUAUCCUCUGUAGCCGAAGGUAAUUUGAGGAGAUCUGUCCCUAGUACGAGAGGACCGGGAUGGACGUAGCUCUCGUGUGCCAGUUGUUCCGCCAGGAGCAUGGCUGGUUAGCGACCUACGGAACGGAUAACCGCUGAAAGCAUCUAAGUGGGAAGCCAGCUCCAAGAUGAGAUACCCCACCGGGUUAACCGGGUAAGGCCCGUGGCAGAACACCACGUUGAUAGGCCGGAAGUGUAAGCACAGCAAUGUGUUCAGCUGACCGGUACUAAUCGGCCGAGGGCUUGAUUUA
rnacentral:rRNA from 1 species